UAUCUCUGUAGAGUCUGCAUAUCAAUAAGCGGAGGAAAAGAAACUAACAAGGAUUCCCUUAGUAACGGCGAGUGAAGCGGGAAGAGCUCAAAUUUGAAAUCUUCAAGGUUCUACCUUGACGAAUUGUAGUUUAAAGAAGUGUUUUCUGUUAGAUGAGUAGCAAAAGUUCCUUGGAAUGGGACAUCAUAGAGGGUGAGAAUCCCGUAUUUGGUUAUUCAUUCUAGCUUUGUGAUACACUUUCAAAGAGUCGGAUUGUUUGGGAAUGCAGUCCAAAAUGGGUGGUAAAUUUCAUCUAAAGCUAAAUAUUGGCGAGAGACCGAUAGCGAACAAGUACCGUGAGGGAAAGAUGAAAAGAACUUUGAAAAGAGAGUUAAACAGUACGUGAAAUUGUCAAAAGGGAAGCGUUUGACACCAGUGUUGUUUUUCCGAAAAUCAAUUACGAAUGGCUUGAUUUUGUGUUGUAUUGACCUUAUCAGCUUUCUGCACUUUUUUCGAGUUUUUCUUAAUGCACUUUUCGGUUAACAAGUCAACAUCAAUUUCUUUUGUUGUAAAAGAGCUAUUCGGAAGGUGGCUUUCUUUUCGGAGAAAGUGUUUAUAGCCCUAUACUUCUACAAUCGGAGAGAUUGAGGUCUGCAGCGUAGAUCCUUCGGGGUUAGAUACACUUGUGCUAAGUUGUAGCUUUUCAUAGACAACUUGUUGACUAUGUUUAGUCAUGCGGCUUACUCGCUUAUGCUAUUUUACCUACGCUUAGGAUGUUGACUGAUAUGUAGUCGUA
rnacentral:rRNA from 1 species